CUUUUAAAGGAUAAUAGUCAAUCCAUUGGUCUUAGGAACCACUAACC
rnacentral:tRNA from 1 species